rnacentral:rRNA from 1 species
GAUGAACGCUAGCUACAGGCUUAACACAUGCAAGUCGAGGGGUAACGAGAGGAAAGCUUGCUUUCCUUGUCGACGACCGGCGCACGGGUGAGUAACGCGUAUCCAACCUGCCCCCAACUAGGGAAUAACCUUGCGAAAGUAAGACUAAUACCCUAUAAUUUCCUCAGAUGUCAUCUGACGAGGAAUAAAGAUUUAUCGGUUGUGGAUGGGGAUGCGUCUGAUUAGCUUGAUGGCGGGGUAACGGCCCACCAAGGCAACGAUCAGUAGGGGUUCUGAGAGGAAGGUCCCCCACAUUUGAACUGAGACACGGUCCAAACUCCUACGGGAGGCAGCAGUGAGGAAUAUUGGUCAAUGGGCGGAAGCCUGAACCAGCCAAGUAGCGUGCAGGAUGACGGCCCUAUGGGUUGUAAACUGCUUUUAUACAGGAAUAAAGUUAGCCACGUGUGGUUAUUUGUAGGUACUGUAUGAAUAAGGACCGGCUAAUUCCGUGCCAGCCGCCGCGGUAA